AAUAUUGGACAAUGGGCGAAAGCCUGAUCCAGCAAUGCCGCGUGUGUGAAGAAGGCCUUCGGGUUGUAAAGCACUUUCAGUGGGGAAGAAAAAUUCAGGGCUAAUACCCCUGAGUAUUGACGUUACCCAAAGAAGAAGCACCGGCUAACUCUGUGCCAGCAGCCGCGGUAAUACAGAGGGUGCGAGCGUUAAUCGGAAUUACUGGGCGUAAAGCGUGCGUAGGCGGAUAUUUAAGUCGAAUGUGAAAUCCCCGGGCUUAACCUGGGAACUGCAUCCGAUACUGGAUAUCUCGAGUAUGGUAGAGGAAAGUGGAAUUCCCGGUGUAGCGGUGAAAUGCGUAGAUAUCGGGAGGAACAUCAAUGGCGAAGGCAACUUUCUGGACCAAUACUGACGCUGAGGUACGAAAGCGUGGGGAGCAAAC
rnacentral:rRNA from 1 species